CCACCCCCCAAGGCUAAAUACUACUUAGUGACCGAUAGCGCAUAGUACUGUGAAGGAAAGGUGAAAAGGACCCCGGGAGGGGAGUGAAAGAGAACCUGAAACCCUAUGUUUACAUACAGUGGAAGUAUUAUUCUAUGUACUUACCUGCUCUUACGAAGCCUUGCAGGUCUAAAUGAGUGACUGCUGCGUCAACAUACUCGUCGUAGACAACUACGACUGCGUGUGUUUCCUUGCAUUCACACAUUUAUCCGAUGCAAAGCAAUCGUAGAAGGAGGCAAGUACAUAGAAGUACAACCGCGUACUUUUUGUAGAACGGUCCGGCGAGUUGCCGGUGCUGGCGAGGUUAAGGACUAAAGGUCCGGAGCCGAAGGGAAACCGAGUCUUAAUAGGGCGUAAAGUCAGCAGCGGCAGACCC
rnacentral:rRNA from 1 species